GGUCAAUGAUGAGCUGGCAUGUAUUCUGAAUCCGAAGCUGAUUAUUACUACUUUAAGAUGCUGGCGAGGAUGCAGAGAAAUGGGAACCCU